UUUUGGCUAGAAUGAGAGCAAAGAUCAAUCCGAAGAACCUGAAAGGCCUGGUGCUGUUAUAUCUAAUCAUGUAUCAUAUCUGGAUAUUUUGUAUCAUAUGUCUUCUUCUUUUCCAAGAUUUGUUGCCAAGAGAUCAGUGGCUAAACUCCCUCUAGUUGGUCUCAUCAGCAAAUGCCUGGGAUGUGUGUACGUUCAGCGGGAGUCAAAAUCGACCGAUUUUAAAGGUGUUUCAGGUGUUGUGACUGAAAGAGUUCAAGAAGCUCAUCAGAAUAAGUCUGCUCCAAUAAUGAUGCUUUUUCCAGGUUCUUGUCCUUAUAUACU